CCCACAUCAGUGUGUGAAGUGUGUUCCAGUUACCGCCUUCAUAUUGCUCUGAUUUUUGUUCUGAUCUCUUUGAUUGGGGACCAGGAAGAGGCAGGUGCAGAUGUGCUUGGAGGGGAUCUGUUUGUCCAUCCCCAACCUUGCAGAGGCUUUGCCUGGACCAUUGCUCAACCUCUUCCAUUUGCUGAUGAACAGGAGGGAGUGCCCAGAACCAUGCGGGAUGUAGGAGUGGGUGAAGCAGGUAUCAUUGGCUUGCACAAGAAAUGAGUGGCAUCAAGGAGCAAAAAACCCAUGAAUUGGGCUUGGCACACUUUGACAAGCAGGUCUGCUGGGCUGUGGUCCAGCAGGACAGGAGCCCAUCAAGGAGCAGCACCAUUUCCAAGGGAAACCAUCCAGCGAAGCUGUGAAUCCAACCUCCCCAGCUGGAAGAUCUCGGCUUAGAAGCACCAUUUCCAAGGUGACUCAGCUGGCCAUGCUUUUCUCUGGGAUUUUCCACUGCAUCGGCAAGAAGAAUUUAAUCCACGUGGCUGUUGGGACUUCCUUGCAAGACUCCCAUUCACAGAGUCUCCCUCUAAGACCACAGGGGUCACAUAAUAUAUAUUUGAUUUGUUUCUGAGCUUGAUUCCUCAACUCGGAUUGUGUUGGAGGCUGCUGGGAUGCGGGUUGGCUCUGCACGCCAUGCAAACUCCCCAGAAAAUGCUCCAGUGAACAAAUGUUCAUUAAAAAAAACAGCAAAUGUGAAUUGCAGCUGACUGUAGAGGUGCUGGUGAAUUGACAACAUACGCACACAGUCAGAACAAAUGAUCUGGAACACAGCGGGGAGAGAUGGAAACUCUCUCACAUCCCAGUCUGAUACGUACUGGGGGUGAUGCUGAGCUGCUGGCUGGGGCAGACCCUUCACACUUCCCUCCUGCUGCACAGAUCCAUUACUGGUGACCAUGAGAGCUGAUUUAAAUGUCACAGAGAGCUCCAGCAAAGCCACCUCCACCCAUGUGAACAGCUUCAUUGGACUUUGUACUGAGCACCAGGCAGGGAUUUACUAUUCAGUCUCUCCUUAUUGGAUGCAUUGAUUAAGCAGCACAUCCCUCCUUUUGCAGCAGCUCCAGGUGAGAUCUAGUUGGUC
rnacentral:lncRNA from 1 species